ensembl:snRNA U2 U2 spliceosomal RNA
AUCACUUCUUGGUCUUUUGGCUAAGAUCAUGCGUAGUAUCUCUCCUUAUCAGUGUGAUGUCUGGUGCGUCCUCUCUCCGAAGACAAUAUAGUAAAUGGAUUUUGGAGCAGGAAGAUGGAGUAGGACCGUGCUCCGUCCUCUCCAUGCACCGACCUGGAAUUGCAGUGCUGCCAGGGACGGUGCACCUCCA